CUCUCCUGCUGCACUGUGAAGAAACUGCUUGCUUCCCUCUCACCCUCUGCAGUUUCCUGAGGCCUCCCCAGCCAUGCGGAACUGCCAGAUGCAGUGCCUCAUGCCUGUAAUCCCAGCACUUUGGGAGGCUAAGGAGGGAGGAUUGCUUGAGCCUGCUUCCAUAUCGUAAACUGCCUUGGAACCAAGUACCACUACCAGGGAGACAAACUAUUGCUUAGAGGAUGCUGACGGGAGCAGCAUGCCAAAAUUGGAAGAAUGUUGUCUCUCAGCUGGUGCCACGAAUAGGUCUUCAGCAGGCUGUUCCAUUCCACCAUUCUAUCUGGCCCACUGCUUCUUACAAGAUUAAGAUAGCAGAUCCCAUGGGUGUAGGGAGAAAGUUUAAGCUCUCCUCACUAUGAGUUUUCAAGUAUAAAAGACUUUUUCUUCCAUGAUUUUGAGAACAACUGUGGACUCUUGUGACCAGGACAACAGGGAAGCUUGCAGCAAGAUAGCUCCAGGUUGGAUUCACGCUUCGCACCCCAAGGGCUGCCAGCCAGAGAGGAGGAGAAGCAAUCACUCCUGCAGUUUCUGAACACUACACAGACGCCAGGUAGCUUCUUCAGGAGAACAG
rnacentral:lncRNA from 1 species